ensembl:lncRNA
UGCUGACCUACAUCAAUGCAAAGGCUCAAUAACUGAGACUGCUAGGGACCAGACACUUCUGAGGCACACUCCUGAGUCAACCAGCCUGGACAACAUGGAGGGCACUUCCGAGUCAACCAGCCUGGACAACAUGGAGGGCACUUCCGAGUCAACCAGCCUGGACAACAUGGAGGGCACUUCCGAGUCAACCAGCCUGGACAACAUGGAGGGCACUUCCGAGUCAACCACCCUGGACAAUAUGGAGGGCACUUCCGAGUCAACCAGCCUGGACAACAUGAAGGGCACUCCUGAAUCAACCACCCUGGACAACAUGGAGGGCACUCCUGAAUCAACCACCUUGGAUGACGUAAACAUGAGUCACAAAAUAGUCACAUUCCAAGCUUCUUCAAAGGGCUCCAAAAGAAAGCAAGCUGUGAAGGUGAGAAGCAAGUGGACAGGUGAGGAAGUGAAGGCUGUUGAGCGGCAUUUGCUUAACUUCAUUACAAGCUGCAGAAUACCUGGUAAAAAGGACUGUGACUCCUGCCUCCAGGCAGAGCCAGUAGCUCUGAAAGACCGAGACUGGG